AGAACGAACGCUGGCGGCAUGCCUAAUACAUGCAAGUCGAACGAGAUCUUCGGAUCUAGUGGCGCACGGGUGCGCAACGCGUGGGAAUCUACCCUUGGGUUCGGAAUAACAGUUGGAAACGACUGCUAAUACCGGAUGAUGACGAAAGUCCAAAGAUUUAUCGCCCAGGGAUGAGCCCGCGUAGGAUUAGCUAGUUGGUGAGGUAAAGGCUCGCCAAGGCUACGAUCCUUAGCUGGUCUGAGAGGAUGAUCAGCCACACUGGGACUGAGACACGGCCCAGACUCCUACGGGAGGCAGCAGUAGGGAAUAUUGGACAAUGGGGGCAACCCUGAUCCAGCAAUGCCGCGUGAGUGAUGAAGGCCUUAGGGUUGUAAAGCUCUUUUACCCGAGAUGAUAAUGACAGUAUCGGAGAAUAAGCUCCGGCUAACUCCGUGCCAGCAGCCG
rnacentral:rRNA from 1 species